AGUGAACGCUGGCGGCGUGCUUAACACAUGCAAGUCGAACGAGAACGGAUUAUAGCUUGCUAUAAUUGUCAGCUAAGUGGCGCGCGGGUGAGUAAUGUAUAGGUAAUAUGCCUCUUACUAAGGGAUAACAAAUGGAAACGUUUGCUAAUACCUUAUACUCCUUAUUAACAGAAGUUAAUAAGGGAAAGAUUUAUUGGUAAGAGAUUAGCCUGUAUUGUACCAGUUAGUUGGUGGGGCAAUGGCUUACCAAGACUAUGACACAUAACUGGUUUGAGAGGAUGAUCAGUCACACUGGAACUGAGACACGGUCCAGACUCCUACGGGAGGCAGCAGUGGGGAAUAUUGCACAAUGGACGAAAGUCUGAUGCAGCAACGCCGCGUGGAGGAUGACACAUUUCGGUGCGUAAACUCCUUUUAUAUGAGAAGAUAAUGACGGUAUUAUAUGGAUAAGCACCGGCUAACUCCGUGCCAGCCGCCGCCGUAA
rnacentral:rRNA from 1 species